UACGAAGGGGGCUAGCGUUGCUCGGAAUCACUGGGCGUAAAGCGCACGUAGGCGGAUUGCUAAGUCAGGGGUGAAAUCCUGGAGCUCAACUCCAGAACUGCCUUUGAUACUGGCGACCUUGAGUCCGGGAGAGGUGAGUGGAACUGCGAGUGUAGAGGUGAAAUUCGUAGAUAUUCGCAAGAACACCAGUGGCGAAGGCGGCUCACUGGCCCGGUACUGACGCUGAGGUGCGAAAGCAUGGGGAGCGAACAGG
rnacentral:rRNA from 1 species